rnacentral:rRNA from 1 species
ACAGGAUCAGAGGGAUCAAAAACUGCUAAUUCGUAUAAAGCCAUUAAGCCAGCCCAACCAGAAACUAGAGCUGUGUGCAUUAUAUGCACCGCAAGCAAUCGACCCGGAUCAUUCAAUACGACAGUAUGUCAAAUUUUCAUUGUAAAUAUGAAUUCCUUUGUUAUAAGAGCAGCUAAACCUUAUUUGGCCACUACAGGAGCAACGGUUUUGCAGUUCUUUUUUCUGCAGUACCUCGACGUGACAUGA